GUGAAUCAUCGAAUCUUUGAACGCAAAUUGCACUCUCCUCGGAGAGUAUGCCUGUUUGAGGGUCAGCCUAUAAAAAAUCGACUUCGUUGCUGUUUCGCGGUGGCGUUCGUCGUAAAUGGUUAAACUUUAUUUUUUUUGUUUUUAAGUGUUUUAAAUUUUUCUUUUUGGUUCUUUGAACUUUUUUAAGUUUUUUUUCUUAUCACUUUUAAGGUUUAG
rnacentral:misc_RNA from 1 species